GACGAACGCUGGCGGCGUGCUUAACACAUGCAAGUCGAGCGGAGCGGCGAACGGGAGAGUAACGCGAGAGUAACGGCCCCCCUCUCUGGGAUAACGGUAGGAAACGGCUACUAAUACCGGAAAGUGGGGGAUGACUCGCGGCGUAUCAGCUGGUGGGUGGGGUAGUGGCCUACCAAGGCGACGACGGGUAGCCGGCCUGAGAGGGUGACCGGCCACAUUGGGCUGAGAUACGGCCCAAACUCCUACGGGAGGCAGCAGUGGGGAAUAUUGCACAAUGGGGGAAACCCUGAUGCAGCAACGCGCGUGCGGGAUGAAGGCCUUCGGGUUGUAAACCGCUUUCAGCAAUGACGCGGUAGUGGCAGAAGAAGCACCGGCUAACUACGUGCCAGCAGCCGCGGUAAUAC
rnacentral:rRNA from 1 species